CAUUUAAAUGGUUGAAAGUAAUAGCUCCAGGAGAAUUUUAGAGUACCAUUUUCUUUCAGGCUGCCAUAUUAUCCCUGUUUCCAUUUGCCAUGGAUAAUUGGAGGGUCAUGGUAUAGAAGCAAGAGUUAAUAACAGAACUUGCCUAAAUGUGUUAAAGUUCAUGGGGGAGGGGUGGCAAAUACCGUAUUUUAAGUUAUGCAAUUGCCCUUUUAAGAAAGUCAAUUCUAUUCACUUGUUAACUAGAAACAUUGCUUAGAUUGAAUUUAUUGAAGCAAAAAGAAAAGGCAAUGAGAGAGAACUUUUAUCUUCCUUCCUGUCACAUUCUGUAAAGUUGAUUAUGACUUCUGCCAGACUUAGAGCAACAACUUUAGUUCAUUUUAACAUUUUUUUUUAAUGAAGAGCAUCAAAGAAUGGAGUAGUCCUUAUUUAAACUGUAAUGGUGUCAAGUCUCACUGUGUGCACACUCUCACACAUACACACACAAUUAUACUAAUUCUAGAAAGGAACCAAAGGUAAAUAACCAGUGUUUCCAUUAUCACUAAAUGGAAAAAUUGACUGGAAGUUAGAGUUGUGCCAAUUAAUCAUUUUGUUCAUCAACUGUUCUGGUAACUUAUUUUUUUUUAUUGGAAUCUUAAAUUGGAACAACUGUUACAGAAUGUAUAUUGCUCCAGUUCUAAAGCCAGUUAACCCUGUGCCCUCUAACUUAUGAACCUUCAUUUCAAAACAGUAUGUGGGAAGUCCUGUAGUUUGAUAAGAGUAAAAUUAUUUUAAAGAGGAUAAUUUACCAUUUUACUACUAUAAAAUAAGUUGAUAUCAGUUGACCAUUUUAUUUUUUGAUGGACUCUUUUUGUUGGGAGAAAGAAAUGAAUGGAAGAAAAAAAUAUGUUGCUUUUAUUUGAAUAUUGAUUACUAACAACUUAUAAACUACAUUGCAGGAAAUGAAGAAAUAUUUUGAAAUUAGCAAAAUAGCAACAGUAUUCAAGUAUCUGAAAUUUUAAUAUGGUGAGUCUUAGAGCUUUAGACUUUCCUAUAAGUGACAGUAUCUAAGUUAUUCUUAAUAGUCACACUUGAUAAUUCUGCUGACCAUAAGCAGCUAACCUACAGUUGAAGAUAUUUAUGUGACAUGAAUAGCCUGUGUUUUAAAAAUUAAAUAUUUUAUAUAAAAUUG
rnacentral:lncRNA from 1 species